AGAGUUUGAUCCUGGCUCAGGAUGAACGCUGGCGGCGUGCUUAACACAUGCAAGUCGAACGAAGCACUGGAGCGGAAUCCCUUCGGGGAGGAAGCGCCUUUGACUGAGUGGCGGACGGGUGAGUAACGCGUGGGUAACCUGCCCCAUACAGGGGGAUAACAGCCGGAAACGGCUGCUAAUACCGCAUGUACAUGCGGGGGCGCAUGCCCUUGGAUGGAAAGCAUUAGCGGUAUGGGAUGGGCCCGCGUCUGAUUAGGCAGUUGGCGGGGUAACAGCCCACCAAACCGACGAUCAGUAGCCGGCCUGAGAGGGCGACCGGCCACAUUGGGACUGAGACACGGCCCAAACUCCUACGGGAGGCAGCAGUGGGGAAUAUUGCACAAUGGGGGAAACCCUGAUGCAGCGACGCCGCGUGGGUGAAGAAGUAUUUCGGUAUGUAAAGCCCUAUCAGCAGGGAAGAAAAAUGACGGUACCUGACUAAGAAGCACCGGCUAAAUACGUGCCAGCAGCCGCGGUAAUACGUAUGGUGCAAGCGUUAUCCGGAUUUACUGGGUGUAAAGGGAGCGCAGGCGGCACGCUAAGCCUGAUGUGAAAACCCGCGGCCCAACCGCGGGAGUGCAUUGGGAACUGGCGGGCUGGAGUACCGGAGGGGCAGGCGGAAUUCCUAGUGUAGCGGUGAAAUGCGUAGAUAUUAGGAGGAACACCAGUGGCGAAGGCGGCCUGCUGGACGGAGACUGACGCUGAGGCUCGAAAGCGUGGGGAGCAAACAGGAUUAGAUACCCUGGUAGUCCACGCCGUAAACGA
rnacentral:rRNA from 1 species